GUUCAUUNCCUUGGCCGNAAGGUCNGGGUAAUCUUGUUAAACUCUGUCGUGCUGGGGAUAGAGCAUUGCAAUUAUUGCUCUUCAACGAGGAAUCCCUAGUAAGCGCAAGUCAUCAGCUUGCGUUGAUUACGUCCCUGCCCUUUGUACACACCGCCCGUCGCUACUACCGAUUGAAUGGCUCAGUGAGGCUUCCGGACUGGCCCAGAGAGGUCGGCAACGACCACUCAGGGCCGGAAAGCUAUCCAAACUCGGUCAUUUAGAGGAAGUAAAAGUCGUAAUCAAGGU
rnacentral:rRNA from 1 species